CGAAAGCCUGACGGAGCAAUACCGCGUGAGGGAGGAAGGUCUUUGGAUUGUAAACCUCUUUUCUCAAGGAAGAAGUUCUGACGGUACUUGAGGAAUAAGCACCGGCUAACUCCGUGCCAGCAGCCGCGGUAAUACGGAGGGUGCAAGCGUUAUCCGGAAUUAUUGGGCGUAAAGCGUCCGCAGGUGGCAAUUCAAGUCUGCUGUCAAAGCACGGGGCUUAACUCCGUAAAGGCAGUGGAAACUGAAUAGCUAGAGUGCCGUAGGGGUAGAGGGAAUUCCCGGUGUAGCGGUGAAAUGCGUAGAGAUCGGGAAGAACAUCGGUGGCGAAAGCGCUCUACUGGACGGCAACUGACACUCAGGGACGAAAGCUAGGGGAGCG
rnacentral:rRNA from 1 species